rnacentral:rRNA from 1 species
AACUCAAAGGAAUUGGCGGGGGCCCGCACAAGCGGUGGAGCAUGUGGUUUAAUUCGAUGCAACGCGAAGAACCUUACCUGGUCUUGACAUCCACGGAAGUUUUCAGAGAUGAGAAUGUGCCUUCGGGAACCGUGAGACAGGUGCUGCAUGGCUGUCGUCAGCUCGUGUUGUGAAAUGUUGGGUUAAGUCCCGCAACGAGCGCAACCCCUGGAUUUAGUUGCCAGCAUUAAGUUGGGCACUCUAAAUUAACUGCCAGCGUUAAGCUGGAGGAAGGUGGGGAUGACGUCAAGUCCUCAUGGCCCAUACGCCUAGGGCUACACACGUAAUACAAUGGAUAGGACAAAGGGUCGCGAACUCGCGAGAGGGAGCUAAUCUCAAAAACCUAUCCUCUGUUCGGAUUGGAGGCUGCAAUUCGCCUCCAUGAAGGCGGAAUCGCUAGUAAUCGUGGAUCAGAACGCCACGGUGAAUACGUUC